AUAAAUACUCUUCCAUUUCUUCGUCACAUCCUCUUUCAAGUUGGUGUCCUCGUUUUUGAGACACAUCUCCGCAAGAUGAGAGCCAAGUGGAGGAAGAAGCGUAUGCGCAGGCUGAAGCGUAAAAGGCGAAAGAUGAGGCAGAGGUCCAAGUAGACUGACCCCCAUUUCCUGCUGCUGUGAUCCCCUCCCAAGCCCUCUGAAGCCUGCGGUCCUUGUGCCACAGCCGGUCCAAGGUUGUCUAAAGCUGACCUCACUGCAACUGACUAAAGGACUGAUCGUGGCUACCCAGCCCUCUAGUUUGCCAAUGGUGUAUUGCUGUCUUGACUACUGGAGUAUGCGGAGAACUUGAAUUCCCAUGUCAAACUCUGGAUUGUCCACCUUCCUAGAACAGCUGAUUUGGAAAGACUAAAAUAAAUCUUUGGUUUACUAA